GUGGGCUUAGACGAGGCGAGGAGGUGCAUAGAGUGGACGAGCGUUCAAAAAUACUUUCGUCGUUGACCAGGGGCGCACACCUGCUGUCCGAGCGCCCUCCCUUCCCCGCCAGUAGUUCCGAUUUUGUCCAAGGCGCAGCGCUGCCACCGGCACUACUUAAAGACGCCCCCCUUCUACGGCUUUGCCCGUUGAAGCGAAGUCCCCAGUGUGCCGUUAACAGACACUACUCAAAGCAACACCCUCAAACAUGCGACAACAGUGAAUACUCCAAGUGAUUGUGUGGGCACUAUCUAUAGACUGUCAGUGUUAUUUUUUUUUCUUCAUACGGGAUCGAACCUAGACAAUAGUAUACGCACGUUCAUAAGUGUGAGCGUGUAACCGUCCAAAAUGGAAGAUGGUCAUAUGAA